rnacentral:rRNA from 1 species
UAUUUUGAUUGUGCAAAGGUAGCAUAAUACUUAGUUUUUUAAUUGAGAACUGGUAUGAAUGGUUGGACGAGAAAAAAACUGUCUCAAUUUAAAUUUUAUUAGAAUUUUAUUUUUAAGUUAAAAAGCUUAAAUAAUUUUAAUAGACGAGAAGACCCUAUAGAGUUUUAUAAAAUUUAAAUUAAUAUAUAUUAAAGAAUAUUAUAAUUUAUUUAUUUUAAUUUUAUUUAGUUGGGGUGAUUAAAAAAUUUAAUAAACUUUUUUUAAAAAAAUUACAUUUAUAUAUGAAUAAUUGAUCC